GACGAACGCUGGCGGCGUGCUUAACACAUGCAAGUCGAACGGAAAGGCCCUGCUUUUGUGGGGUGCUCGAGUGGCGAACGGGUGAGUAACACGUGAGUAACCUGCCCUUGACUUUGGGAUAACUUCAGGAAACUGGGGCUAAUACCGGAUAGGAGCUCCUGCUGCAUGGUGGGGGUUGGAAAGUUUCGGCGGUUGGGGAUGGACUCGCGGCUUAUCAGCUUGUUGGUGGGGUAGUGGCUUACCAAGGCUUUGACGGGUAGCCGGCCUGAGAGGGUGACCGGCCACAUUGGGACUGAGAUACGGCCCAGACUCCUACGGGAGGCAGCAGUGGGGAAUAUUGCACAAUGGGCGGAAGCCUGAUGCAGCAACGCCGCGUGCGGGAUGACGGCCUUCGGGUUGUAAACCGCUUUCGCCUGUGACGAAGCGUGAGUGACGGUAAUGGGUAAAGAAGCACCGGCUAACUACGUGCCAGCAGCCGCGGUGAUACGUAGGGUGCGAGCGUUGUCCGGAUUUAUUGGGCGUAAAGGGCUCGUAGGUGGUUGAUCGCGUCGGAAGUGUAAUCUUGGGGCUUAACCCUGAGCGUGCUUUCGAUACGGGUUGACUUGAGGAAGGUAGGGGAGAAUGGAAUUCCUGGUGGAGCGGUGGAAUGCGCAGAUAUCAGGAGGAACACCAGUGGCGAAGGUGGUUCUCUGGGCCUUUCCUGACGCUGAGGAGCGAAAGCGUGGGGAGCGAACAGGCUUAGAUACCCUGGUAGUCCACGCUGUAAACGGUGGGUACUAGGUGUGGGGUCCAUUCCACGGGUUCCGUGCCGUAGCUAACGCUUUAAGUACCCCGCCUGGGGAGUACGGCCGCAAGGCUAAAACUCAAAGGAAUUGACGGGGCCCCGCACAAGCGGCGGAGCAUGCGGAUUAAUUCGAUGCAACGCGUAGAACCUUACCUGGGUUUGACAUGGAUCGGGAGUGCCCAGAGAUGGGUGUGCCUCUUUUGGGGUCGGUUCACAGGUGGUGCAUGGCUGUCGUCAGCUCGUGUCGUGAGAUGUUGGGUUAAGUCCCGCAACGAGCGCAACCCUUGUUCACUGUUGCCAGCACGUUAUGGUGGGGACUCAGUGGAGACCGCCGGGGUCAACUCGGAGGAAGGUGGGGAUGACGUCAAGUCAUCAUGCCCCUUAUGUCCAGGGCUUCACGCAUGCUACAAUGGCUGGUACAGAGAGUGGCGAGCCUGUGAGGGUGAGCGAAUCUCGGAAAGCCGGUCUCAGUUCGGAUUGGGGUCUGCAACUCGACCUCAUGAAGUCGGAGUCGCUAGUAAUCGCAGAUCAGCAACGCUGCGGUGAAUACGUUCCCGGG
rnacentral:rRNA from 1 species